rnacentral:misc_RNA from 1 species
UUCAUCAUCACCAAAGUCUCCAUCUUUCACACCUUUACACAAACAUGAGUGCUGCAAGUGCAACUCACCUACAUCAUCAACAAAGUUCCAGUACAGGUGAAGGUCAUCGGAACAAAUACAAGGGAGUUCGCCAGCGAAAAUGGGGGAAAUGGGUGUCGGAAAUUAGGGUUCCUGGCACCCAUGACCGGCUCUGGUUAGGUACCUACUCUACGCCGGAAGCAGCAGCGGUGGCUUAUGAUUUAGCUUCUUAUUGUUUAAAG